rnacentral:rRNA from 1 species
GAUGAACGCUGGCGGCGUGCCUAAUACAUGCAAGUCGAGCGAACAGACGAGGAGCUUGCUCCUCUGACGUUAGCGGCGGACGGGUGAGUAACACGUGGAUAACCUACCUAUAAGACUGGGAUAACUUCGGGAAACCGGAGCUAAUACCGGAUAAUAUAUUGAACCGCAUGGUUCAAUAGUGAAAGACGGUUUUGCUGUCACUUAUAGAUGGAUCCGCGCCGCAUUAGCUAGUUGGCAGGGUAACGGCUUACCAAGGCGACGAUGCGUAGCCGACCUGAGAGGGUGAUCGGCCACACUGGAACUGAGACACGGUCCAGACUCCUACGGGAGGCAGCAGUAGGGAAUCUUCCGCAAUGGGCGAAAGCCUGACGGAGCAACGCCGCGUGAGUGAUGAAGGUCUUCGGAUCGUAAAACUCUGUUAUUAGGGAAGAACAAAUGUGUAAGUAACUAUGCACGUCUUGACGGUACCUAAUCAGAAAGCCACGGCUAACUACGUG